UCCUUUCCAUUCCGAACAGGAAAGUUAAGCUCUACAGCGCUAAUGGUACUGCACGGGCAGCUGUGUGGGAGAGUAGGACGUCGCCAGGU
rnacentral:rRNA from 1 species